rnacentral:rRNA from 1 species
GACAGAGGGUGCAAACGUUGUUCGGAAUUACUGGGCUUAAAGGGUUUGUAGGCGGCCAUGUAAGUGGGGUGUGAAAGCCCUCGGCUCAACCGAGGAAUAGCGCUCCAAACUGCAUGGCUUGAGGGAGACAGGGGUAAGCGGAACUGAUGGUGGAGCGGUGAAAUGCGUAGAUAUCGGGAGGAACACCUGUGGCGAAGGCGGCCACCUGGUUGGAUACUGACGCUGAGACGCGAAAGCGUGGGGAGCAAACAGG